rnacentral:tRNA from 1 species
AACAACGCUGUUAAGUUGGUUAACACUCGACUCAUAAUCGAAUAUUCGCUGGUUCGAUUCCAGCCGUUGUUC